rnacentral:rRNA from 1 species
UACGGGGGGGGCAAGCGUUGUUCGGAAUUACUGGGCGUAAAGGGCUCGUAGGUGGCCAACUAAGUCAGACGUGAAAUUCCUCGGCUUAACCGGGGAACUGCAUCUGAUACUGGAUGGCUUGAGUUUGGGAGAGGGAUGCGGAAUUCCAGGUGUAGCGGUGAAAUGCGUAGAUAUCUGGAGGAACACCGGUGGCGAAGGCGGCAUCCUGGACCAACACUGACACUGAGGAGCGAAAGCCAGGGGAGCAAACGGG